rnacentral:rRNA from 1 species
GGAGGGGGCUAGCGUUGUUCGGAAUUACUGGGCGUAAAGGGUGCGUAGGCGGCUAUCCAAGUCAGACGUGAAAGGCCUGGGCUCAACCCGGGAACUGCGUUUGAGACUGGGUGGCUGGAGUCCGGGAGAGGUGAGCGGAAUUCCCAGUGUAGAGGUGAAAUUCGUAGAUAUUGGGAAGAGCACCGGUGGCGAAGGCGGCUCACUGGACCGGUACUGACGCUGAGGCACGAAAGCGUGGGGAGCAAACAGGAUUAGAUACCCUGGUAGUCCACGCCGUAAACGAUGUGCGCUAGACGCAGGGGGUUCAGCCUUCUGUGUCGCAGCCAACGCGAUAAGCGCACCGCCUGGGGAGUACGGCCGCAAGGUUA